rnacentral:rRNA from 1 species
GCUUAUGGCCAUACCAGCCUGAAUACGCCCGAUCUCGUCCGAUCUCGGAAGCUAAGCAGGGUCGGGCCUGGUUAGUACUUGGAUGGGAGACCGCCUGGGAAUACCAGGUGCUGUAAGCU